rnacentral:rRNA from 1 species
AGCGAACGCUGGCGGCAGGCCUAACACAUGCAAGUCGAACGAACCUUUCGGGGUUAGUGGCGGACGGGUGAGUAACACGUGGGAACGUGCCUUUAGGUUCGGAAUAACUCAGGGAAACUUGUGCUAAUACCGAAUGUGCCCUUCGGGGGAAAGAUUAAUCGCCUUUAGAGCGGCCCGCGUCUGAUUAGCUAGUUGGUUGAGGUAAUGGCUCACCAAGGCGACGAUCAGUAGCUGGUCUGAGAGGAUGAUCAGCCACAUUGGGACUGAGACACGGCCCAAACUUCUACGGGAGGCAGCAGUGGGGAAUCUUGCGCAAUGGGCGAAAGCCUGACGCAGCCAUGCCGCGUGAAUGAUGAAGGUCUUAGGAUUGUAAAAUUCUUUCACCGGGGACGAUAAUGACGGUACCCGGAGAAGAAGCCCCGGCUAACUUCGUG